rnacentral:rRNA from 1 species
UACGUAGGGUGCGAGCGUUAAUCGGAAUACUGGGCGUAAAGCGUGCGCAGGCGGUUAUGUAAGACAGAUGUGAAAUGCCCGGGCUUAACCUGGGAACUGCAUUUGUGACUGCAUGGCUAGAGUGUGUCAGAGGGGGGUAGAAUUCCACGUGUAGCAGUGAAAUGCGUAGAUAUGUGGAGGAAUACCGAUGGCGAAGGCAGCCCCCUGGGAUAACACUGACGCUCAUGCGACGAAAGCGUGGGGAGCAAACAGG